rnacentral:rRNA from 1 species
UACGUAGGGUGCAAGCGUUAUCCGGAAUUAUUGGGCGUAAAGAGCUCGUAGGCGGUUUGUCGCGUCUGCUGUGAAAACUGGAGGCUCAACCUCCAGCCUGCAGUGGGUACGGGCAGACUAGAGUGCGGUAGGGGAGACUGGAAUUCCUGGUGUAGCGGUGAAAUGCGCAGAUAUCAGGAGGGAACACCGGUUGGCGAAGGCGGGUCUCUGGGCCGUAACUGGACGCUGGAGGAGCGAAAGCGUGGGGAGCGAACAGG